rnacentral:rRNA from 1 species
GCCGCGGUAAUACGGAGGAUCCAAGCGUUAUCCGGAUUUAUUGGGUUUAAAGGGUGCGUAGGCGGUCCUAUAAGUCAGUGGUGAAAGACGGCAGCUUAACUGUCGCAGUGCCUUUGAUACUGUAGGACUUGAAUCUAUUUGAAGUGGGCGGAAUAAGACAAGUAGCGGUGAAAUGCAUAGAUAUGUCUUAGAACUCCGAUUGCGAAGGCAGC